rnacentral:rRNA from 1 species
GUCCUUUAGAUAUUAAUUAAAGGUCUAACCUGCCCACUGAAAUAUUUUAAAUGGCCGCAGUAAUUUGACUGUGCAAAGGUAGCAUAAUCAUUAGUUUUUUAAUUAAAAGCUUGUAUGAAAGGUUGGACGAAGUAAAAUCUGUCUCUAAUUAAAUUAAUUUAGAAUUUAACUUUUAAGUUAAAAGGCUUAAAUUUAACUAAAAGACGAGAAGACCCUAUAGAUCUUUAUAUUUUUAUUAUUAAAUUUAAUUAAGAAUUUUUAAAAUUUUAUUAAUUUAAAUAUUUUAUUGGGGUAAUAUAAAGAUUUAAAUAAUUCUUUUUUUUUAUUAACAUUAAUUUAUGAUUUUUAUGAUCCAAUUAUAUUGAUUUUAAGAUUAAGUUACCUUAGGGAUAACAGCGUAAUUUUUUUAGAGAGUUCUUAUCGAUAAAAAAGUUUGCGACCUCGAUGUUGGAUUAAAGAUUAUUUUAGGUGCAGAAGCUUAAAAAUUUUGGUCUGUUCGACCAUUAAAUCUUUACAUGAUCUGAGUUCAGACCGGUGUAAGCCAGGUCGGUUUCUAUCUUUAGUAAAUUAAAAUAUUUCAGUACGAAAGGACCAAUUAUUUAAUAUAAAUAUUUAUAUUUUGAUUAUUAUUAA